rnacentral:rRNA from 1 species
GCACAACGCGAAGAACCUUACCUACUCUUGACAUCCAGAGAACUUGGCAGAGAUGCCUUGGUGCCUUCGGGAACUCUGAGACAGGUGCUGCAUGGCUGUCGUCAGCUCGUGUUGUGAAAUGUUGGGUUAAGUCCCGCAACGAGCGCAACCCUUAUCCUUUGUUGCCAGCGGUCCGGCCGGGAACUCAAAGGAGACUGCCAGUGAUAAACUGGAGGAAGGUGGGGAUGACGUCAAGUCAUCAUGGCCCUUACGAGUAGGGCUACACACGUGCUACAAUGGCGCAUACAAAGAGAAGCGACCUCGCGAGAGCAAGCGGACCUCAUAAAGUGCGUCGUAGUCCGGAUUGGAGUCUGCAACUCGACUCCAUGAAGUCGGAAUCGCUAGUAAUCGUGGAUCAGAAUGCCACGGUGAAUACGUUCCCGGGUCUUGUACACACCG